rnacentral:rRNA from 1 species
AUUGAACGCUGGCGGCAGGCUUAACACAUGCAAGUCGAGCGAGCGGCGGACGGGAGAGUAAUGUCUGGGCAACUGCCUUAUGGAGGGGGAUAACUACUGGAAACGGUAGCUAAUCCCGCAUCCCAUCAGAUGUGCCCAGAUGGGAUUGGCUAGUAGGUGGGGUAAUGGCUCACCUAGGCGACUAUCCCUAGCUGGUCUGAGAGGAUGACCAGCCACACUGGAACUGAGACACGGUCCAGACUCCUACGGGAGGCAGCAGUGGGGAAUAUUGCACAAUGGGCGCAAGCCUGAUGCAGCCAUGCCGCGUGUGUGAAGAAGGCCUUCGGGUUGUAAAGUACUUUCAGUGAGGAGGCGUUACUCGCAGAAGAAGCACCGGCUAACUCCGUGCCAGCAGCCGCGGUAAUUC